GAUGAACGCUGGCGGCGUGCCUAAUACAUGCAAGUCGAGCGAACAGACGAGGAGCUUGCUCCUCUGACGUUAGCGGCGGACGGGUGAGUAACACGUGGAUAACCUACCUAUAAGACUGGGAUAACUUCGGGAAACCGGAGCUAAUACCGGAUAAUAUAUUGAACCGCAUGGUUCAAUAGUGAAAGACGGUUUUGCUGUCACUUAUAGAUGGAUCCGCGCCGCAUUAGAUAGUUGGUAAGGUAACGGCUUACCAAGGCAACGAUGCGUAGCCGACCUGAGAGAGGGAUAGGCAGCAUGGGAGGGGGACCGGGGACAGGGGGACUGAGGGAGGGACCAGAAGCGAAUGGGAAGCAAGGGGGGAGAACUUUACGGAAUAACCGGAAGCGAGAUAUAAAGUCGUUGGGAGCGGAAAACUGGCUUACGGGGGAAAAACAAAUGUCGACGGUAACAUAGAGGGAGUGACGGUAAUUAAUAAGAAAGCACCGGCUAACUACGUG
rnacentral:rRNA from 1 species